rnacentral:lncRNA from 1 species
AUGAAAAUUAAAACGUUUCUUUCAAUUGCAGCCCUCCCUACUUUUACUGUGUUAACACUCAUCGAGAGGAGCACUUUAGUAUUCGGCGUUUCUCAGCCUGGUGUGGUCAUGAGAAAACAAGAAGAAAACAGAGUUGAGCGUCCUGUGGAGAGGACAGCGUUGAGCAGCUGGGGAGCACUGAGCGCGGGCGGAGCGGCGCGGCAGAUGGUGUUUCUGGCCGGUGGUUCCUUCCCGCAGGCGAGCUUCUUCACAGCAGCCGCGUGUUUCCCUUGGGGCCCUCAGGGACUCUGUAGACAGAAUGGGAAGAGAUCAGGUACUAUCCUGCACUUUGGCAUCCAGGCUUAAAGAAAACCCCCCACAAAUAUCCUUGCCCUCUCCUCAUGCUAUUGAAAACAUUUUAGUGAAUAAAGAGUUAAUUUAUUAAAAACCUUUUGAGAAA